UACGUAGGUGGCAAGCGUUGUCCGGAUUUAUUGGGCGUAAAGAGCGCGUAGGCGGCUUGUCAAGUCUGGGGUGAAAUCUCCCGGCCCAACUGGGAGGGGACCUCGGAUACUGGCAGGCUCAGAGGGGAGCAGAGGAGAGUGGAAUUCCCGGUGUAGUGGUGGAAUGCGUAGAUAUCGGGAGGAACACCAGUGGCGAAGGCGGCUCUCUGGGCUCUACCUGACGCUGAGGCGCGAAAGCGUGGGGA
rnacentral:rRNA from 1 species